UUCUUAAUUCUUUGAUAGAAAAAACACAUAUAUAAAGUCCUUAUACUUUUCUGAUUUAAAACAUCGCCAAAGAAAUAAUAUACCCACACAAUAACUCCCGUCUAUGGCUCAAGCAUACAACUAACUAAAGUAGUCCACUAAAGAAUUUAUUUAGUCUUACAACAAAAGAUAAACUAAAUCAAGUAAAUUAAUGUCUAUAUACUCCCACAUCACUACACGUAUAUACUCCUUAUCCACCACAGAAAGAAUUAAGUCAACAAUUAAAAGAAUUCAACAUAAAUACUCCCCGACCAAACACACGUACAUAUGCUAAAUUCCCCACCCAACACAAUAUGCAAAGAAGUAAAAAGAACUAAGAACUAUUUAUUCAGUAUACCCCCGAAAAGCCAAAUCGUCUUUCUCAAAUUGCACCUCCCCUAUAACACUAUCUCUCUCACUGCUCUCUCUCUCUCUCUAAAGCUCACAAUUUCUUCCCUUGCCUUUCUUCUACAAAACACAAUAUAGUAAGCACCAUAGUCCUCAACUUCUUGUUUCUUCCUCUCCUCUGUACUUUAUCUCCCAAACUCUCAUUCCCCAAAAUUAAGUCUCAAAACAGAAAUUUCAAAUCCUAAAACAGUAGUACAAGGCGUGCCUCCAUCUUUCUUCCUCUCGGUCUCUCCUCACCGUCGGUAAAACUCGCCGCCGCCAGCUCGUUCAGGCAGCUGCCGUCCGCCACUGUCAGUCGCCCCUUUAGCACCGCCCAGCCGCCGUCGCCGGCGCCUUAGUCGAGCGGCGCCGCCUCUCACAACAGAUUCGUCCCUCCCCUUUUUUCUCCACUCAAAACUAAUCUUUUAUUAUGUUUUCUAAUAUUUCGAUAUCAAUUAUUAACGGCAGAUAACGUUUUUCAGAAAUCUGGGAUUUAAAAUUUCAUCUAAAAAGGCCUAAGAGUGAAACUUGUGUAAACUACUGUGAAACAUGAAGCUAUGCCUUGAAACAAAACGUGGAAGAUUUCAUGAUUUAGAGAAAAUUACCUUUGAUCAGAAGGAAAUCGAUUUGCAGGAAGAACUGUCUCUCUCACGGGUGGUGGAGAGAUUUGAGGUAACUACCCUGGAUUUGAAUUUGAAGAGGGAUAGAUAUCCUUGGACUGAAAUUAAAAUUAAGAGGAUUGAUUUUGGGCUCAAAUGGGCUUUCAACUAAAUAAAAGAAUUGGGCAAGCAAAAGAAUUAUUUCUUAGGCAUAUGUAAAUUCUUUUUCCAUCGUCGAAAUCACAUGCCUCGUUCUUUGGUCUUC